UACAGAGGGGGGCGAGCGUUGUUCGGAAUUACUGGGCGUAAAGGGCGCGUAGGCGGCCUCUUAAGUCGAACGUGAAAUCCCCGGGCUCAACCCGGGAACUGCGUCCGAUACUGGAAGGCUUGAAUCCGGGAGAGGGAUGCGGAAUUCCAGGUGUAGCGGUGAAAUGCGUAGAUAUCUGGAGGAACACCGGUGGCGAAGGCGGCAUCCUGGACCGGCACUGACGCUGAGGAGCGAAAGCCAGGGGAGCAAACGGG
rnacentral:rRNA from 1 species